UACGUAGGGGGCAAGCGUUGUCCGGAAUCAUUGGGCGUAAAGAGCGUGUAGGCGGUCCGGUAAGUCCGCUGUGAAAGUCGGGGGCUCAACCCUCGAAUGCCGGUGGAUACUGUCGGGCUAGAGUGCGGAGGAGGCGAGUGGAAUUCCUGGUGUAGCGGUGAAAUGCGCAGAUAUCAGGAGGAACACCUAUUGCGAAGGCAGCUCGCUGGGACGUAACUGACGCUGAGACGCGAAAGCGUGGGGAGCAAACAGG
rnacentral:rRNA from 1 species